GAUGAAGAACGUAGCGAAAUGCGAUAAGUAAUGUGAAUUGCAGAAUUCAGUGAAUCAUCGAAUCUUUGAACGCACAUUGCGCCCGCCAGUAUUCUGGCGGGCAUGCCUGUUCGAGCGUCAUUUCAACCCUCAGGCCCCGCCUGGCGUUGGGGAUCGGUGCGGCCCUCUCCGGGCUGCCGGCCCCGAAAACUAGUGGCGGUCUCGCUGUAGUCCUCCUCUGCGCAGUAGCAACGCUCGCACUGGAACUCGGCGCGGCCACGCCGUAAAACACCCCACUUCUGAAAGUUGACCUCGGAUCAGGUAGGAAUACCCGCUGAACUUAAGCAUAUCAAUAAGCGGAGGA
rnacentral:misc_RNA from 1 species